rnacentral:rRNA from 1 species
GAUGAACGCUGGCGGCGCGCCUAACACAUGCAAGUCGAACGAUUAAAGCACCUUCGGGUGUGUAUAAAGUGGCGAACGGCUGAGUAACACGUGGGCAACCUGCCCCUCUCAUUGGGAUAGCCACGGGAAACCGUGGAUAAUACCGAAUACUUCGGGACUUCCGCAUGGAAGACUCGAGAAAGCUCCGGCGGAGAGGGAUGGGCCCGCUGCCUGUUAGCUUGUUGGUGGGGUAAUGGCCUACCAAGGCAAUGAUGGGUAGCUGGGUUGAGAGACCGACCAGCCAGAUUGGGACUGAGACACGGCCCAGACUCCUACGGGAGGCAGCAGUGGGGAAUCUUGCACAAUGGGCGAAAGCCUGAUGCAGCGACGCCGCGUGCGGGAUGAAGGCCUUCGGGUUGUAAACCGCUUUCAGCAGGGACGAGGCGAAAGUGACGGUACCUGCAGAAGAAGCCCCGGCUAACUACGUG